rnacentral:tRNA from 1 species
GGUUCUUUAUCUUAGCUGGUUAAAGUUCUCCGCUCAUAACGGAGUUAUCGCUGGUUCGAAUCCAGCAGGAACCA